rnacentral:rRNA from 1 species
UUUUUUAUAAAAAUAAUUUAUUUAUUUAAUGUUUUAGUAUUUAGUAAAAAUUAAUUUUUAGAUUUAUAGUUUAAUAGUAUUGUAAAAGAAUUAAUUAAAUUUGAAAAAGAAUAUUUUUAGUACCUUUUGUAUCAGGGUUGAUUAAAAUUUUUAAUUUUUUUUUAAUUUCUCAAAAUUUAUAGAGUUAAUUUUAUUAUUAAUUUAUUGUGUUAUAAAUAUUUAUAAAAUAAUAUUAGUUUUGAAAUUUAAUUCGUUAUAUUAUAUUUAGUUAUUUAAGAUUUAAAUUUAAUUUAUAAUUUUAAAAGUUAUAUUGAUUUUAUAUAUAAAUAUUUUAAAUUUGAAUUAUUUUAGGGAUAAGCUUGAAAUUUUUAUAUAAUAAUUUAUUUAUUUUAAUAAUUUAUAGGAAUAGAAAUUUUUAUUUUAAGUUUGUAAAAAUUUAUUAUUUAUUUAUUUUUAAUUUAUUAUAAAUUUAUUUAUUUUUUUUAUUAAAUUUUAUUAAUUAAUAUUUAAUUUUUAGUAAUAAUGAUUAAAUUAGUAUAAUUUAAAUUUAUAAAUUAUGAAUUCGGCAAAAAUUAUUUUCAUCUGUUUAACAAAAACAUUGUAUUAAGUUUUAUUUAAUAUAGGAUCUGCUCAAUGAUUUAUUAAAUAGCUGCAGUAUUUUGACUGUGCAAAGGUAGCAUAAUAAUUAGUCUUUUAAUUGAGGACUUGUAUGAAAGAUUUGAUGAGAAAUAAACUUUAUUAUUUAUAAAAUUAAAAUUUUAUUUUUAAGUAAAAAAGCUUAAAUUAUUUAAAGGGACGAUAAGACCCUAUAAAACUUUAUAAAUAUUAAUUUUAAUUUUUUUGGAUUAAUAAAUAUUUUAUUUUUAUUAUUUAUUUUAUUGGGGUGAUAAAAAAAUUUAUUAAACUUUUUUUAAAAUUUUACAUUAUUUAAUGAAUAUUUGAAUUAAAAUUUUUAAUUAAAGGAAAAAGUUACUUUAGGGAUAACAGCGUAAUUAGUUUUUUAAGUUCAAAUUUAAAAAUUAGUUUGCGACCUCGAUGUUGAAUUAAGAUUAAUCUUAGGUGCAAAAUUUUAAGUAUUAGGUCUGUUCGACC